AACCCACUCCACUACUGUUCCCUAGAGAAUCCCAUGGACAGAGGAGCCUGACAGGCUGCAGUCCGUGGGGCUGACAGAAUCAGACAUGGCUGAAGUGACCAAGCAGCAGCAGCAGCAUACCUGAGGGAUAUGAUAAAUUUCCAACAAUAAUAGUAACUCAUUAAGGCUAUAUUUUCUGGAAAAUAUAUGAAUAGGCCACCCUUUGUCCAUUUGUAUUAGGGGCUCAUUGAGCUGGAGCAGGUAGUUUCAUACUUAACCAGAUGAAAAUUAUUAUAGUCUUGGCAGAAAAGACAGUUUCAAGUAUAGUACAAUGUCCUGUCCAUGUUAACCUAAAGUCUGAAUCCUAUGGAUUUAUAGGUGACAUUGGGGUAGGAGAAGGGGAGCAGAAGGAACUGUUUUAACAGUGACUCAAAGGAAACUAGGAAUCAACAGCAUUUGGGGUGGGAAGGGGCUCUCUAACAGGGUGACUUCCAAGUCCUCAGUAAGGAGAAGUCACGUGUUUUUUCUGCAUCUUGCAGAAUGGUGCUCACCUUCGAUAUGGUAGGGGCUGCAGCCCCCCAGCUAUGCAGGAACAGUGAUGCCCAGCAGACGGGGGAAGAUGCAGAGCAGUGGGGUGGCUUGGAAGAAGUGUCCUUGUUCAAAAAAAAUCUAAGAACUCUGGACUGUUGACAAACAUUCCCUUUUGCGGUCCCAACUCCUCUUGAAGCCAAAAUGAGUUCCUCUUCCUUACCCCAAUUACCAUCUGUGAGUAUCCUCCAACACUCCAGUCAACUCACACGCCAUCUCUGAAGGAAGAAACUCUUGUGACUUCAACCCUCACCUUCGAGAACAACUUCCACAUCAGUAAUUCAAGCACGGGAUAGAGCAGGUACUUCACAAACACCCUUGAAUUAAUUAUCAAGUAGCUGAUGAAGAUGAGCACAUCAUUUCCAUGGAGUGUCUCAUACAUUGUAACAGCUGGAAUGGGCAGCAGACUUCGCAUCUGGACUGAGCAAGGAUGUGUGCUCAGCACUGAAUGUGUCACCUGAAGCAGACUGUUCCAGUAGCUCUGUUGUAUCUUGGAGACCUCAUGACUCCAUUCUCAUGAUUGUCAAUCCAUCCCAGCUGCAAUGUCCACAGGACACCAGCCUAAGGUCUUUGGCCAGCCCUCGACAUAAUUGAGAUGGAAUUUACAAAAGGCAAAUUGAGAAACACCCUCUUGAGGAUGAGAUCUCAGAGUAGCAAGUCUUCACUCUCUCUCUCCACUGGGCUACAGGGGGAAACACCUGUGAUCUUUCUGGUGUAAUGGAGACAUGGUAACUAUCUUGCCCUCUUGUAACUCUAUCAUAAGCACUGAAUUAGAGGUGGAAGAGGGUGUGUUCAUGAGUUAUCCCUGAAAUAGCUCUGGAGACAUUCAGAACUGCCACUGAGCAAGUUAUUGUUUAUGAUUUUUCUACCCAGUUGUUGUCUAACAAAUAUGUUUAAAGCAGCGUUUUAAUAGACACUGUACUAAGUGCUAUGGGCUUCCCUGGUGGCUCAGUGGUAAAGAAUCUGCCUGCCAAAGCAGGAGACUCGGAUUUGAUCCCUGGGUGGGGAGGAUCCCCCUGGAGAAGGGAAUAGCAACCCACUUCAGUAUUCUUGCCUGGGAAAUCCCAUAGACAGAGGACCCUGACAGGCUACAGUCCAUGGGGUCACAAAGAGCCAGCCAUGACUUAGCGACUAAAUAAUGACAACAUACUAAGUGCUGGUGAUACUUGUCCACUGCAUCCAAAGAGCUCACACACACUCAGGUCCCCACACAACCACAUUUACGCUGUGUGACAUCCAGUUAGACUUGAGAUCAGGACAAAGGGCUAUCAUAUUUGUCAUAGUUUUGCAAGGUGUUUUCACAUCCACUAUCUCAUUUAAUAUUCUUAACAGCCCAAGAAGAUGGGCAGAGAAAAUAGUGUUGAUUCCACUUUAUGGAAGAGGAUAUCAAGACUUAAAAAGCGUCAUGCAACGUACUGGGUUUAGCUUACGGUUGAGCCGGGACAGCAAGCCUGAUGGCCAAGUAGAAUCCCCUGCUUUUGUCACUACCCCGUUCUGCCUUCCUACCUCUUUUUCCUCAUCUGUAUGAAGAAGGUGCUAGGCCAGUGUCUUUCUGCUAUGGGCCCUUCAACUAUAAGACUCUCUGAGUCUAUAACCAGGGCCCUGCCGCAAGGGAGCUCCCAGUCCAGGAGGGACAGUUGGACCAAAAAACUAACAACUUUGUUCCCCUGCUACCGCCUAGGGUUGUGUGAAGAUUAUAGUAUAUAAUAUACUAAUCCAGUGCUUGUGUGUGUGUGUGUGUGUGUGUGGUUGACUAAAACUAGAUGGAGUGGUACUUUGUAGGUACCACUUUGCAACAGGUAUUUCUCUAGGUUCUCAUUAGUUUUCCAGGUAUCUGCCUCACCCAGGAGACUUUGGGGCAGGGAUCAUGUGAUACCCACCAUCACUAAGAAUAGUGUCUUCUUUUAAAAAAAAAAUUAUUAUUUAUUUUAUUUUUGGCUGUGCUGGGUCUUCGCUGCUGCAUGAGCUUUUCUCUAUUUGCUGCGAGCAGGGUCCACCCUCUGCUUGUGGUGCGCAGGCUUCCCACCGCAGUGGUUUCUCUUGUUCUAGAGCAUGCGCUCCAGGGCUUGGGGUUUCAGUAGUUGUGGCUCCCAGGCUCUGGAGCACAGACUUAAUGGUUGGGGUACACAGGCUUAGCUGCUCUGUGGCCUGUGGGAUCCUCUUGGACCAGGGAUCGAGCCCAUGUCUCCUGCAUUGGCAGGCAGAUUCUUUACCACUAAGCCACCAGGGAAGCCGUCUUCAAUGGGGAUUGUUGAAGAAACAAUGGGUACAUUAAGGCAGGUUGAUCUUAGAGAGGGAGGUGGCUUGAUCCAUGUGCCAAAUUCUCACCUCAACACACAUUUUCGCAUUUCUCAAGAUAUCUAGUUUAGUAUGCUUGGUGGAAACCCACCAUGGAAGUUUAACAACUGUAAAAUGGGGGCAGGGGGCAGAUUUUGAGUAGAGAGGAGGAUGAAGAGGAAGAAGGAGGAAGAAAACAGGAGAGGAUGGAGCUAGAGCAUUCAAAUGUGUAAAAAUGCUUCUGUCUUCACAGACAUUAAGUGCCAGGACUUCAUCUGUCUUGCCAUCCCCAUAUUUUGCCAGUUCUGCAACCGGAACUCCAGGUCUGCCAUGGAGACAAUCUCAUGAUAACAUUACGUUCCAGGAAGUCUUGCUGAAUGCACAGCAGCAGCAGCCCUGGCUCCCCCCGCAUCUCUCUGGAAGCCUGCAAUUUGUGUUGGUUUAGGCUCUGUGGCCAGGAAGCAUUAUUAGAUGGAAGUGUGCCAUCUCCCCACCCCGGCUCCCAGUGCUGUCUUUGUGGCCAGUGAAGUAAAUGCAUCUUGUGCCUCUUAAGAAAUGUGGGACAGGAGGUCGGGUGGAGCCCUGCCAGCGUGACAGUGGAGGUGCGUCAGUGGCUCAGUGACAGGUGGCAGAGGCCAAGGGCUUGGGAAUCACUUACAGUCACGGAGAUUUCUUUCCCUUUCAGCCUUUGCGCUCUGAUGGGAAUGAAGCAGCAGGCCGCCAAGCCACACAACGGAAGCCUGAAAUGAGAUGACUUGGGCAAUUUGCACAAGAGUUUCCUACUUUAAAUAAUUAGAGUCACUAUCCCUGGGGGCAUUUGCUUAUUGGCUGCCUUAACAGUCUUCUUGUUUUUUUUUUUUUUAAAGCAAGUCUCUUAAAGAUACUGCUCUUGAUCUUACACGCACUUGCCCAGACUUGUCUUAUUCUUAUAGUACUGAUGUUCUACUGUUCAAAAGUUAGGAAGGAGCUGAUUCUGAGCUGGAAACAAGGGCAGCAGAAGAUAGAGAUAGUAGGCUCAUUUUGUGCAUGAGUCCCAGAGAGAGAGAGUGCCAGCCAUUGCAGGAGGUGGGUUUGAGGGGUUGGAUGUGCAAAAUGAGGUCUAGCUGGCAGCCCCUGGGCAAUCUGCUGAUGGUGGGUUGGAAAUGGCAACUGUUGAAAAACACUGCAAACUGGGGUUGUUUCUCAUCUGAAACAUGGCGUCUGCCCUGACUGUAAAUGAUCCCCACAGGGAACUAGGCAAGGGUGUGCUGGUAAACUGGCUCUUUGGAAAGAAAAAAAAGGAGGGUUGGUUUGUAACCUUAGUACAUACUCUGACUCUGGCACAUUUCCAGCUACCACGGUUAACCUGCCUGCCAAAAUCCUGAAUGUUUAACACUCCUCCCUCUGGAACUGGUACCAGAAGCUCCAGCCCACCACUGGCUAAGAAACAAAUUUCUACUUGCCACUCGCAGGCCAGCUGUAAAAAAAAAAAAAAAAAGAUUGGUUUCAGUUUUGCCACUUAUUACAUGUGUGCUUCUUGGCAAGGCUUUACUUUUUCCAAACAUAGCUCUCUCCUUUGAAAAACAAGAGUUCAGAUUAUGCCAUGUAGCAUCUCUGCCAAGCUCACACCACUCUUCCCUAAGAUCCACAUCUUCUGUCUCAUGCGCCAUGCUUGGGUUAAGAGAUUCUGCACCUGUGGCCUGAGCUGAUUAAACAAAUUGAAUGGCCAGGGGCCAAUCAGAUCUCUUCCUUGAUGAUUAGCCCAGAGCAAUUCCAAGCUUGAAUUUGCUAGUGGAGAGGCAGAGAGAGGGGACCCAAACAGAGGAAGUCCUCUGCCACCUACCACAUCCCUCAAUCUAUCUGCUCUUUGCUCUGAUUGUUCAGCUUUGUCUUGGAGUCGUGGAGAUAUCCCAGCUGCUUCCAAUAAACUUUCUUCUAGCUCUCAGGCCAGUGAGAGUAGGACUUUGUAAAUUGUAAGUAAUAGAGUUUUAGUGAGUGAAGUGAAGUCGCUCAGUCGUGUCCGACUCUUUGCAACCCCAUGGACUAUAGCCCACCAGGCUCCUUCCAUCCAUGGAAUUUUCUAGUGGACUAAGACUGACAUUUCAAGGAUUAGCGUAAAAGAAUAGAAGGGAAGUGUGAAGAAUGAAAAUACUGCCAAUAAAGAACAAAAAAGUAAGCAACAGAUCAUUUCAAAUGGUGAAAGUCUGGAAGGGAAUACAAAACAGAUAACCCAGAUGCUGUGUGGUUUUGCACUGGACCAGAUUUCGCAAAAUGUACCAUUAAACACUGAAAUGACUAAUAAUUUCUGGCAUUGGGAAACUGCAGUAAUGAUUGAUUUACAUAAGUACAGUAAAAAGUGAAACAGGAAACUUUGACUUAAGUUCAUCCUGGUGGUUUUCACUGUUAGGUUUGGAAAGAUAAGGUUAAAUUGGAAUUUUCACUGUCAUAGGAUCUUAAACAGGCAGUUGGAAUAGAUAGGGCUGUUUUGUGGGUUGGUUGUUUGAAAGUAACAAAUUUUCCCAUGGAAAAUCAUACGUUGGAGGGCCGACUGCAGGUAGCACAACAAAAUCCUUACUGGAAGGAAAUCACAGUGCUGGUAAUAGUACAGGUCCCUGGGAGGGCAGCUUCCAUGAGAUGCCCUGCACUUUAGAAGUUCCCUCAGCAGCCCUUAGAGGACCACCUGUGUGUUGGGGUUAGGGAAAGCAGAGUGAUGGAAGAAGGGACUCUGGAGGGUGGGGAGUCCUCUGGGGGAAGGAACGGGGACUUCAUUUGCAGAAGUGUCAACAGGAAGAACACUGAGGGUGGAGGGGGCUCUGCCACUGAGUGUCCAAAUAUGUGUGUUAUUCACAAAUUGAAUAACCAAAAAAAUUGGGAACUACCUGUAUUUGCUAUUGGAUGCUGUAUCUAUUGUGGUAUCAACCUCUGAAACAAGUCUGAAGAGCCUAGUGGUGAUACUUGCUGGCUUUGCAGUCAGGUGGAUCUUGGUUUGAAUACCAAUUUCAUGUGACCUUGGGCUAGUUACUAAAACACGCUGUGUCUCAUGUCCUCAUCUAUAAAAGGGAGGUGGUAAUGAUGAGUGUUUACCUGACAGGCUUGCUGUAAGAAUUCAAUGAGAUAAUCUAUAUAAAGCACUUAACACACUGUACAUUUAAUAUAGAGGGCUUCCCAGGUGGCACAGUGGUAAAGA